UCAGCAGUGAGGAAUAUUGGUCAAUGGCCUAACGGCUGAACUGGCAACUUGGAGAAGUGGCAAGUCUUCCAGUAUGGGGAGCAAAACAGCUAUGGGUCAAGUCUGAUAUCUUUAGGAGGGGCGAAGCUCCUCUUAUUGUGAGGGCGAGUUAUAUAACACCAUAGGACUGGCCGUCCCAUAUGAAAAGAUUAUAUUAGAAUUGAAUGAAGCUUUGUUUAUAUAUUGAUAAUGACAGUAUAUAUAUCGUGUCUUGACUAAUUGCGUGCCAGCAGUCGCGGUAAUACGUAAGAGACUAGUGUUAUUCAUCUUAAUUAGGUUUAAAGGGUACCCAGACGGUCAAUAUAGCUUAUAAAAUGUUAGUACUUGACUAGAGUUUUAUGUAAGAGGGCAGUACUUGAGGAGGAGAGAUGAAAUUUCGUGAUACCAAAGGGACUCUGUAAAGGCGAAGGCAGCCCUCUAUGUAAAAACUGACGUUGAAGGACGAAGGCACAGAGAACAAACAGGAUUAGAUACCCAAGUAGUCUUUGCAGUAAAUGAUGAAUGCCAUAGGUUAGAUGGGUUGGCUCGUCUAGUUGAGUUAGUUUAGCAAACUAAUGAUCUAGACGAGCCCACCGUAUAUUUGGUCUAUAAAUGAAAGUGUAAGCAUUUCACCUCAAGAGUAAUGUGGCAACGCAGGAACUGAAAUCACUAGACCGUCUACACCGAUGAUUU
rnacentral:rRNA from 1 species